rnacentral:rRNA from 1 species
AUUGAACGCUGGCGGCAGGCCUAACACAUGCAAGUCGAACGAGUGGCGGACGGGUGAGUAAUGUCUGGGAAACUGCCUGAUGGCGGGGGAUAACUACUGGAAACGGUAGCUAAUACCGCAUACCAUCAGAUGUGCCCAGAUGGGAUUAGCUAGUAGGUGGGGUAACGGCUCACCUAGGCGACGAUCCCUAGCUGGUCUGAGAGGAUGACCAGCCACACUGGAACUUAGACACGGUCCAGACUCCUACGGGAGGUAGCAGUGGGGAAUAGUGCACAAUGGGCGCAAGCCUGAUGCAGCCAUGCCGCGUGUAUGAAGAAGGCCUUCGGGUUGUAAAGUACUUUCAGCGGGGAGGCGUUACCCGCAGAAGAAGCACCGGCUAACUCCGUGCCAGCAGCCGCGGUAAUUC